CAGCCGCCACGGGAAUACGUAGGUGGCAAGCGUUGUCCGGAAUUACUGGGCGUAAAGCGUGCGCAGGCGGUUUCUUAAGUCUGAUGUGAAAGCCCCCGGCUCAACCGGGGAGGGUCAUUGGAAACUGGGAAACUUGAGUGCAGAAGAGGAGAGUGGAAUUCCACGUGUAGCGGUGAAAUGCGUAGAGAUGUGGAGGAACACCAGUGGCGAAGGGGACUCUCUGGUCUGUAACUGACGCUGAGGAGCGAAAGCGUGGGGAGCAAAUGGGAUUAGAUACCCCAGUAGUCCCUGUCUCUUAUAC
rnacentral:rRNA from 1 species